rnacentral:rRNA from 1 species
UACGAAGGGGGCUAGCGUUGUUCGGAAUUACUGGGCGUAAAGCGUAUGCAGGCGGACUUUUAAGUCGGGGGUGAAAUCCCGAGGCUCAACCUCGGAACUGCCUUCGAUACUGCGGGUCUCGAGUCCGGGAGAGGUGAGUGGAAUUCCUAGUGUAGAGGUGAAAUUCGUAGAUAUUAGGAAGAACACCAGUGGCGAAGGCGGCUCACUGGCCCGGUACUGACGCUGAGGCGCGAAAGCGUGGGGAGCAAACAGG